rfam:Claviceps purpurea 20.1, WGS project CAGA01000000 data, contig: scaffold00019
GCUCGUAUGGUGCAGUGGUAGCAUAGUUGCCUUACAUGAAACGACUCGUACUGAGCGCAAAUGGUCCUAGGUUCGAACCCUAGUACGAGCA